AUUGAACGCUGGCGGCGUGCUUAACACAUGCAAGUCGAGCGGCAGCGCGGGAGCAAUCCUGGCGGCGAGCGGCGAACGGGUGAGUAAUGCUUCGGAAUCUGCCCAGUAGUGGGAAUAACCAGUCGAAAGACUGGCUAAUACCGCAUACGACCUAAGGGUGAAAGCAGGGGAUCGCAAGACCUUGCGCUAUUGGAUGAGCCGAAGUCGGAUUAGCUAGUUGGUGAGGUAACGGCUCACCAAGGCGACGAUCCGUAGCUGGUCUGAGAGGACGACCAGCCACACUGGGACUGAGACACGGCCCAGACUCCUACGGGAGGCAGCAGUGGGGAAUUUUGGACAAUGGGCGCAAGCCUGAUCCAGCAAUGCCGCGUGCAGGAUGAAGGCCUCGGUUGUAAC
rnacentral:rRNA from 1 species